rnacentral:rRNA from 1 species
CCUACGGGAGGCAGCAGUGGGGAAUAUUGCACAAUGGGCGAAAGCCUGAUGCAGCAAAGCCGCGUGAAGGAAGAAGGGUUUCGGCGCGUAAACUUCUAUCAACAGGGCCGAAAGAAAUGACGGUCCCUGAAUAAGAAGCCCCGGCUUAAUACGUGCCAGCAGCCGCGGUCAUACGUAGGGGGACAGCGUUAUCCGGAAUUACUGGGUGUACAGGGUGAGUAGGCGGCAAGGUACGCCAGAUGUGAAAGCCUUGGGCUUAACCCGAGUAUUGCAUUUGGAACUAUCAAGCGAGAGUACAGGAGAGGAAAGCGGAAUUCCUAGUGUAGCGGUGAAAUGCGUAGAGAUUAGGAAGAACACCAGGGGCGAAGGCGGCUUUCUGGACGGAAACUGACGCUGAGGCACGAAAGCGUGGGGAGCGAACAGGAUUAGAUACCCUUGUAGUC